CCUACGGGUGGCAGCAGUGGGGAAUAUUGCGCAAUGGGCGAAAGCCUGACGCAGCGACGCCGCGUGAGGGAUGAAGGUCUUCGGAUCGUAAACCUCUUUCAGCAGGGAAGAACGGUCACUGUGCUAAUCAGCAGUGAAUUGACGGUACCUGCAAAGGAAGCACCGGCUAAGUCCGUGCCAGCAGCCGCUGUAAUACGUAGGGUGCGAGCGUUAAUCGGAAUUACUGGGCGUAAAGCGCGCGUAGGCGGUAUGUCAAGUCAAGUGUGAAAUCCCCGCGCUCAACGUGGGAACUGCCUUUGAAACUGGCAGACUUGAGUGUGUGAGAGGAUAGUGGAAUUCGAGGUGUAGGAGUGAAAUGCGUAGAUAUCUGGAGGAACAUCAGUGGCGAAGGCGACUCUCUGGCACAUAACUGACGCUGAGGAGCGAAAGCGUGGGUAGCAAACAGGAUUAGAUACCCCAGUAGUC
rnacentral:rRNA from 1 species